rnacentral:lncRNA from 1 species
CAUUCCUUUUUCAUCUUGUUAAGAUUAUGGCAAAAAUCAUUUGGCCCAAGUUUGGAUCAAAAUGAAUGAGGGAAUCAAAAGUUAUGGUGUCAUCAACUUGGGACCUCAAAAUGACCAAACGUGCCUCAAACUGCUUGACCAAUUGCCCAACCUAAAAAUCAGGUCACGACCUCAACUUCCCAAGCAUGUAACUUUCAACUCAAAUCUCCUU